rnacentral:rRNA from 1 species
AUUGAACGCUGGCGGAAUGCUUUACACAUGCAAGUCGAGCGGCAGCGCGGGGCAACCUGGCGGCGAGCGGCGAACGGGUGAGUAAUGCAUCGGAACAUGUCCAUUUGUGGGGGAUAGCCCGGCGAAAGCCGGAUUAAUACCGCAUGAGCCCGAGAGGGGAAAGUGGGGGACUCGAAAGGGCCUCACGCGAAUGGGUUGGCCGAUGUCCGAUUAGCUAGUUGGUGGGGUAAAGGCUCACCAAGGCGAUGAUCGGUAGCUGGUCUGAGAGGAUGAGCAGCCACACUGGGACUGAGACACGGCCCAGACUCCUACGGGAGGCAGAAGUUGGGAAUUUUGGACAAUGGGGGAAACCCUGAUCCAGCCAUUCCGCGUGAGUGAAGAAGGCCUUCGGGUUGUAAAGCUCUUUUGUCCGGAGCGAAACGGUUGUGGUGAAUAUCCACGACUACUGACGGUACCGGAAGAAUAAGCACCGGCUAACUACGUGCCAGCAGCCGCGGUAACAC